rnacentral:rRNA from 1 species
ACGGGAGGCAGCAGUGGGGAAUAUUGCACAAUGGGCGAAAGCCUGAUGCAGCUAUGCCGCGUGUAUGAAGAAGGCCUUAGGGUUGUAAAGUACUUUCAUCGGGGAGGAAAAACAAAACUAAUAAUUUUAUUUCUUGACGUUACCCGAAAAAGAAGCACCGGCUAACUCCGUGCCAGCAGCCGCGGUAAUACGGAGGGUGCUAGCGUUAAUCAGAAUUACUGGGCGUAAAGAGCACGUAGGUGGUUUUUUUAAGUCAGAUGUGAAAUCCCUGGGCUUAACCUGGAACUGCAUUUUGAAACUGAAAUACUAGAGUAUCGUAGAGGGAGGUAGAAUUCUAGGUGUAGCGGUGAAAUGCGUAGAUAUCUGGAGGAAUACCUGUGGCGAAAGCGGCUUCCUAAACGAAUACUGACACUGAGGUGCGAAAGCGUGGGGAGCAAACAGGGAUUAGAUACC